rnacentral:rRNA from 1 species
CAGUAGCCGCGGGAAUACGUAUGUCACGAGCGUUAUCCGGAUUUAUUGGGCGUAAAGCGCGUCUAGGUGGUUAUAUAAGUCUGAUGUGAAAAUGCAGGGCUCAACUCUGUAUUGCGUUGGAAACUGUAUAACUAGAGUACUGGAGAGGUAAGCGGAACUACAAGUGUAGAGGUGAAAUUCGUAGAUAUUUGUAGGAAUGCCGAUGGGGAAGCCAGCUUACUGGACAGAUACUGACGCUGAAGCGCGAAAGCGUGGGUAGCAAACAGGAUUAGAGACCCGCGUAGUCCCUGUCUCUUAUACA